AAUUGGAGGGCAAGUCUGGUGCCAGCAGCCGCGGUAAUUCCAGCUCCAAUAGCGUAUAUUAAAGUUGUUGCAGUUAAAAAGCUCGUAGUUGAACUUCGGGAUCAAUUGAUCGGUCAUGCCUUGGUAUGUACUGGUCAUAUUGGUUCUCACCUUCUAAUGAACCUUAAUGUCAUUCACUUGAUGUUUUGGGGAAUUAGGACUGUUACCUUGAAAAAAUUAGAGUGUUUAAAGCAGGCUUACGCCUGAAUACAUUAGCAUGGAAUAAUGAAAUAGGACAUCGCAUUCUAUUUUGUUGGUUUCUAGGAUCGAUGUAAUGAUUAAUAGGGAUAGUUGGGGGCAUUAGUAUUCAAUUGUCAGAGGUGAAAUUCUUGGAUUUAUUGAAGACUAACUACUGCGAAAGCAUUUGCCAAGGAUGUUUUCAUUAAUCAAGAACGAAAGUUAGGGGAUCGAAGACGAUCAGAUACCGUCGUAGUCUUAACCAUAAACUAUGCCGACUAGGGAUCGGAUGAUGUUAAUUUUUAAAUGACUCAUUCGGCACCUUACGGGAAACCAAAGUGU
rnacentral:rRNA from 1 species